GCGUGCGGUGAUCCGCUCCUGGAAACAUCCUAGUGGCGCUCUGAGCCAGCCUGCGCGGGGCACGUACCCGACGUCCACCUCAGAGGGGUCGGCGGGGGCAAGAGCGGGUGCGUGAGAGGUGGGGAUGCGCCCCAUGGAGACCGAGCCUAGAAGCAAACAGACACGGCAACACAGAUGGACCUUGCAGACACCGAGCCGGAUGGAAAAAGUAAGGGAAGCAUCUCACUGUACGGGGACAAUGGGUAUUUACAGCAGCCCCGAAAGGCUGCGCGAGCCUCCGAGGCCUUUGGCCCCUGCUAAGGGCAAGUCGGCGGCGUGGAGAACCCUUUCAGCAGCGAGACAUUUAUCGUGGUAGCGUGCUUGGAAAACAGCAAAUCCCCAUUACCUAAGCAGCCACGUUACUGAGCCCAGCACCCGCCCCCCCUCCGUCUGGAAAAUCCCAAGGAUUCUUUGGAACUCCACUGACGGCUGCCUCCUGCCUCCAACUCCUCCAGGCCUGUUUCUGAGCUCCUGCGGCCUGCAAGAAAAGUGCCCAAGGGCAUCAUCAGGAUGCUGAGGUCCCUGCACUGGCUCAGCUUGGCGUGGGCCGGUGCAGACCCGUCACCAUCUGGAUGCAAGAUGACUUCCCGGAGGAUGGGGAAACCCUUUCCCUUUUAAACUUGUUCCAGGGACGCCUGCAGCUGAAGAGGAGGAGUCCACGUGGGUCCCUUCAGGGCCAGGGAUGGCCUGGACACAGAGGGCAGAGAAGCUUUGGUGACACCAGCAUAGGGUGGGGUGUGGAAUCUGUGCCUUGAGCAGAGCCUGCCCUAUCCAAGGCAGAGCCUGAGACAGAGCUUGGGUGCAGGGCUUUAUUUGGGAAGUGGCCUAGGGGUGGGAGUGGGGCUGAGGGUGAUACAGGAGAGCGGGGAGUCCCCACCUUAGGUGCUGGCUGCCCAGGCCCACGAGGUGCUCCAGGAAGCAGUGAUGAUAUCUUAGGAUCAUGUGCCCCCAAACAAGGGGGAGCAAGUUCUUGGCUCUGUGCUGCAGUCCAGAGGUGACCCACAGGGUGACACUUUGGGUUGACACAUGUGAUGUAGAAUGGGUUUCCCAGGAGAAAGCCCAGGGUGGGAGUAGGAAGAGAGACUGGGCGGUGGGGGCGUGCUCCAGGAAUGAGGCACGGUCAGGCAGCCCCAGUGCAGGUGAACCAAGGCUGCGUGGGGCUGGUGACCACAGCUGUGCCUGGAAUAAGAGGUGACCUAAGAGGCUCUCAGAUGUUGCACAAGAUGUGUCCCAUACUGGGGCCCUAUGCUGCUUUAUUUACUAAGAAACAAGAAACGGGCGUCUGGGUGGCUCAGCUCGUUAAGGGUCUGACUCUCCGUUUCAGCUCAGGUCAUGAUGUCACGGUUCGUGAGAUCGAGCCCUGAGCUGGACUGUGUGCUGACAGCGCGGAACCUGCUUGGAAUUCUCUCUCACUCUCUCUGCCCUUCCCCUGCUCGUGCGCACGCUCUCUCCCCCUCUAUCAAAAUAAAUAAACGUAAAAUAAAAAACACUCAAAAAACAAAAACCAACUUGCUCCAUAGUAGAAAAUUUGGAAAAUAUGGACAGUACAAAUAAGGGAAUAAGGAUUAUCUGCCAGUUCCUCUCACCAGAGAGAACCACAGUUAAUGCUUGUGUUUCCUUUCAAUCUUUUUCUCUGAAUCUGCAUGCU